UACAGAGGUCUCAAGCGUUGUUCGGAUUCAUUGGGCGUAAAGGGCGCGUAGGCGGCGGGGUCAGUCGGGUGUGAAAUCUUGGGGCUUAACCCCGAAACGGCACUCGAAACUGCCCGGCUGGAGGGCCGGAGAGGAGAUCGGAAUUCACGGUGUAGCAGUGAAAUGCGUAGAGAUCGUGAGGAAGACCCGUGGCGAAGGCGGAUCUCUGGACGGCUAACUGACGCUGAGGCACGAAAGCGUGGGGAGCAAACAGG
rnacentral:rRNA from 1 species